GGAGAGAAGGUUGUUUUUGAAUUGCAUUCUCAUUCCAAAUGCAGUGAUGGGUUCUUGUCUCCUUCCAAGCUUGUGGAGAGAGCUCAUGGGAAUGGGGUGAAAGUUCUUGCUUUGACAGAUCAUGACACGAUGGCUGGUAUCCCUGAAGCUAUGGAAGCAGCUCGGAGAUUUGGCAUCAAGAUAAUCCCGGGUGUUGAGAUCAGCACUAUAUAUUCUCCUAGAAAUACUGAAGCAGAGGAGCCAGUGCACAUUCUUGCAUAUUACAGUUGCUGUGGGCCAGCAAAAUUUGAGGAACUGGAAAAUUUAUUGGCUAACAUACGAGAUGGUCGUUACCUUCGUGCAAAAGAUAUGAUCUUGAAGCUCAACAAACUCAACUUGCCUCUUAAGUGGGAACAUGUUGCCAGGAUUGCUGGCAAAGGAGUUGCUCCUGGG
rnacentral:misc_RNA from 1 species